ACACAAACAGUAAUCAAGGGAAGAAUGCCUGCCCACUUCCUGACAACUAUUACUUAGAAUUUCAGGCCAAGUGCUUGGGAGUCCAACUCCAUACACCAGAGAUGGUGAGGCAAGAUAAGCCCAAGCCAUUUAGUCUGCAUUUUGAAGCUGGGAGACUCGCUUUUUUAAAUGCUUAGAAGAGUGGAAUAAGCUAACAGUAUCAGGAAACAGAUUUUUAAACAUCAGAGGAAUGCCCUCAGCUGGUGUCUGCCAUCAGUAAUAACAAUCCAUGCUCUUCUGCUUUGGAGACCAAGCCUGGCCUGCAACACAGGACUGUGGGCUUCUAUCCUAUCUUCCUGGCUGGAAACCACACUUCGUUCCUGCUCCUUCUGCCUUUAUUAUGGAAACUAGUUCCCCAGGACUAUGCUCCGAAAGAGAAAGAAUUGGGUGGAGAUCUGGGCCGGGGAGAGGCCCGUGAUGAGAGGUACAGCAUAGCAUUGCUCUUGAUCCGUAGAAUGUGUGUCUGGAAGGCAGCAGUAUUUAAUUUUUUUGUGAAACUGGCCAAAGGUCUACAAAUUAAAAAUAUAACUAUAGAAAAUCAGAAUGA